AAGGAUCAUUACCGAAUUGUUAACACGAGUUGCUGCUGGCCUUCUAAACAGGGGCAUGUGCACACUCUGUUUACACAUCCACUCACACCUGUGCACCCUCCGUAGUUCUGCAGCCUGGGGGGGCUCUGUUCCCCUCCUGCUGUGGUCCUGCGUAUUUACACACACACUGUGAUAAAGUCUCAUGGAAUGUAUGCCGCGUUUAACGCAAUACAAUACAACUUUCAGCAACGGAUCUCUUGGCUCUC
rnacentral:misc_RNA from 1 species